AGAGUUUGAUCAUGGCUCAGGAUGAACGCUAGCGGCAGGCUUAACACAUGCAAGUCGAGGGGUAUAGAGAGCUUGCUUUCUAGAGACCGGCGCACGGGUGCGUAACGCGUAUGCAAUCUACCUUUAUCAGAGGGAUAGCCCAGAGAAAUUUGGAUUAAUACCUCAUAGUAUAGCGACAUCGCAUGAUGAUGCUAUUAAAGUCACAACGGAUAAAGAUGAGCAUGCGUCCCAUUAGCUUGUUGGUAAGGUAACGGCUUACCAAGGCAACGAUGGGUAGGGGUCCUGAGAGGGAGAUCCCCCACACUGGUACUGAGACACGGACCAGACUCCUACGGGAGGCAGCAGUGAGGAAUAUUGGUCAAUGGGCGCAAGCCUGAACCAGCCAUGCCGCGUGCAGGAUGACGGUCCUAUGGAUUGUAAACUGCUUUUGCACAGGAAGAAACACUACCUCGUGAGGUAGCUUGACGGUACUGGAGAAUAAGAUCGAUCGCUG
rnacentral:rRNA from 1 species